UACGUAGGGGGCAAGCGUUGUCCGGAUUUAUUGGGCGUAAAGAGCGUGUAGGCGGCCAUACAGGUCAGCUGUGAAAACUCGAGGCUCAACCUCGAGACGUCGGUUGAAACCGUUUGGCUAGAGUCCGGAAGAGGAGAGUGGAAUUCCCGGCGUAGCGGUGAAAUGCGCAGAUAUCGGGAAGAACACCAGUGGCGAAGGCGACUUCUUGGCCUGUUCUUGACGCUGAGGCGCGAAAGCUGGGGGAGCAAACGGG
rnacentral:rRNA from 1 species